rnacentral:misc_RNA from 1 species
GUGAACACCAAGGUUGUUCAGUCUGGAACUAAGCAGGAAGUUAUGGAAGAAAAGUUUACAUCUCAAAACAUUGUCAGGGAAUGGGCCACAAAUGCAAAGAAAAUAGGAGAUGCUUUGGCUGCUGUGCUAGAGGAUGUUGAAAUCCUGUCAAGUGUAGACCAGAGAGCCGCAACUGGAAGUUCCCAGAAGAAAGAGAGAAAUUCAAAUAAAAUCAUUACUCCUGAG